rnacentral:lncRNA from 10 species
UAUUAUUAUUAUUAUUUUGUAUUUUCUGCAGAAAUGGGGUUUGGUCAUGUUACCCAGGCUGGUCUCAAGCUCCUGGGAUCAAGUGAUCCGUCCGCCUUUGCCUCCCAAAGUGCUGGGAUUACAGCGGGGAGCCACUGCGCCCAGCCCAGCCAGCCCGAUUCUGACCCAGAGGGUUUAGAAGUUGCUUAGACAGAUCUGCUCCUGUAAGUUCACAGAACUCCUCUGGCUACUGCUGUCCCUUUUUUUCCUGAGUCUUGUUUGCUGAAAUCUUCUUGAGAUUCUGUGAGACAAUAGCCCCUAUUUCUUCCAGUAAAUUACUCUUUUUCUUCCCCUUUAGACAGCCAGUGCUGGUUUCUGUUACAUGUAAACAAAAAGGAUUUUAUUUUUUAUUUUUUUAGGCUAGUCAAGUGAAGCAGUGGGAGGCGGAGGACAAAAAGAAUUUUGACUAAGGCAAUAAAUAUAUUAUACAAGUGAAGUAUUUCCCAAACUGUAUUCUGUGGAAUGCUGUGUUCUCAAAUGUUAACAAGUUCCAUACAAGAACCAUUUAUUUCUAAAUUCUAAAGUCACAUUCAUAUUAUGAAUUAUAUUAAACAUAUAUAGUUACUUUUAUUAUACCUAAUAAUCUGUCUUUAUAAAAGUGUUUACCCAAAAAUGCCAGCAGAUUCCAUGAGAAACUACCUGUACUACAAUGAUCGUCAAACUUUGGUGCAUACAUGACAGAAUCAACCGGAGGGCUUGUUAAAGGAUUGCUGAGUCAAACCCCUCGUUUCAGCAGGUUUGUGGUGGGGCCUGAGAAUUUACAUUUCUUUUUUUUUUUUUUUUAGACGGAGUCUUGCUCUGUUGCCCAGACUGGAGUGCAGUGGUGCGAUCUUGGCUCACUGCAACCUCCGCCUCCCGGUUCAAGCGAUUCUUCUGCCUCAGCCUCCCGAGUAGCUGGGACUACAGGUGCCCGCCACCAUGCUCAGCUAAUUUUUGGAUUUUUAGUAGAGACGGGGUUUUACCAUAUUGGCCAGGCUGGUCUCGAACUCCUGACCUUGUGACCCACCCACCUCGGCCUCCCAAAUUGCUGGGAUUACAGGCAAGAGCCACCGCGCCCUGCCGAGAAUUUGCAUUUCUAACAAGUUCCCAGGUGAUGCUGACACUGCUGGCUCAUGGAACCACUGCUGUAGUAUUUUCCAAAUUAUCCUGAUUCUAAGAACCACCUAUGACCUGUGCUGUUUUUUCAGUGGUUACUGGCUCAUGUCACAUAAAUUCUUUUAGGAUUCAAACAUGUUUGUGAUAUUACUCAGUAUUUACAUCUUGCUUUUACUGCAGCAUGAUAGAAAAAUUAACCACAGGUAUAUCAUAACAAAAAGACCAUGAGUUACCAUUUUCACAAAGUUCAGAUAUAUUUAAAUUAGCCUAUUUAAUCUUUUUUUGGUUGUUGUUGAGAUGGAGUCUCACUCUGUCUCUCAGGCUGGAGUACAGUGGCACAAUCUCAGCUCACUGCAACCUCUGCCUCCCAGGUUCAAGUAAUUCUCCUGCCUCAGCCUCCCGAGUAGCGGGGAUUACAGGUGCCCAACACCACACAUGGCUAAUUUUUGUAUUUUUAGUAGAGAUGGGGUUUUGCCAUGUUAGCCAGGCUGGUCUUGAACUCCUGACCUCAGAUGAUCCGCCUGCCUCGGCCUCUCAAAGUGCUGGGAUUACAGGCAUGAGCCAUCGCACCCAGCCUAUGGUACACCUUUACUGAGGAAACAAUUCAGGAACAUCACUCUUAGUAAGGCAAUUGUUGAUUAUAAGUCAAAAAAACACCAUCAUGUACAAAUUCAGGGGAUUUUGUAUACCUUGUUUUUUUGGUUACAAAUAUGCAAAAUUAAAGAUGUUUGCUAAUACUUGUUUCCAAUUUUUAAACUUUUCAAGUGUUGCACUGUUAAUAAUGUUAAAAUAAAAGGCAUUUGACUUAGUA